CUAUUUCCUUUUAUAAAGGGUACAUGACCAGGGGCUGGGAUUUGAAGUAGUUGGCUCAGAGAGUGAAGUGGAAAGCUUUUCACUGAAAGUGAGAUUCAUACCUGAAUUAAGUAACCUAAAAGACUCCUGGCCAGGAAGUACAAUUAGAUUUGAUUGCUCUCUCACAACCAGCGGAGAUACAAUAAGAAUAUUAUCUUAGAGAGAUAUCAUUUGCACGUACAAAAUAAGCAAUUGAAGUCUUUAUUUUAUGAGAGGUUUAUAGACG